rnacentral:rRNA from 1 species
AUUGAACGCUGGCGGCAGGCCCAACACAUGCAAGUCGAACGGUAACAGGAAGAAGCUUGCUUCUUUGCUGACGAGUGGCGGACGGGUGAGUAAUGUCUGGGAAACUGCCUGAUGGAGGGGGAUAACUACUGGAAACGGUAGCUAAUACCGCAUAACGUCGCAAGACCAAAGAGGGGGACCUUCGGGCCUCUUGCCAUCGGAUGUGCCCAGAUGGGAUUAGCUAGUAGGUGGGGUAACGGCUCACCUAGGCGACGAUCCCUAGCUGGUCUGAGAGGAUGACCAGCCACACUGGAACUGAGACACGGUCCAGACUCCUACGGGAGGCAGCAGUGGGGAAUAUUGCACAAUGGGCGCAAGCCUGAUGCAGCCAUGCCGCGUGUAUGAAGAAGGCCUUCGGGUUGUAAAGUACUUUCAGCGGGGAGGAAGGGAGUAAAGUUAAUACCUUUACUCAUUGACGUUACCCGCAGAAGAAGCACCGGCUAACUCCGUG